rnacentral:rRNA from 1 species
ACGUAGGGAGCAAGCGUUAUCCGGAUUUAUUGGGCGUAAAGGGUGCGUAGACGGGAGAUUAAGUUAGUUGUGAAAGCCCUCGGCUUAACUGAGGAAUUGCAACUAAAACUGGUUUUCUUGAGUGCAGGAGAGGUAAGUGGAAUUCCUAGUGUAGCGGUGAAAUGCGUAGAUAUUAGGAGGAACACCAGUGGCGAAGGCGACUUACUGGACUGUAACUGACGUUGAGGCACGAAAGUGUGGGGAGCAAACAG